GGCAGAUCCAGGCUUGGCUGUGCAAAGGGAGAUGGAACAAGUGAUAAGGCUGGGAAAAGGGGUGCUGGAAGCCACCUGGGAGAGGAAAUAAAGGACAGUCAGAUCAUCUAACCAAAGGUCUAGAGGAGUAAGGAGAAAAAUCAUGAAAGGAACUUUUCUUCCAGAGACCUGGUUCCUGAUGGAGAAACGUAAGGGACAAAAGUGACACUCUUUGACUCCCAUCUGCUGUGAAGUUCUGGGUUGUCAGAUGAAGAUUUUCUCCUCUGUUCUGAGGAAGUAAACAGCAGGCAGGAAAUCUGGGGACAGUGGCCCUCAUCUCCCCUGCUGGUCAUAGGCCUUCUCUUGACCUGAGAGGCUGUGGUACAAGAAUGGCCAACAAGAAAGGAUAGGUGGAUUGUAUUUGUGGAACCAGAGACCCCGGGCUGCACAGAAUAUCCGCUGCCUGAGGUCAGAGCCACCACCCCUCGCCUCUCUGAUGGGGAAGGCAAGCACUUAGAGAUGCCACUCUCCCCACCCCCAAAGCAGAUUUGUGAGAAGUGCUAUGAGGAAGAUGAAACAGAACAGACUAAGAAGCACAAUAAAACGGCCUUGGCACAGUGGAUGAUACAAGCAUUUUGGAAUAAACACAGGAGAGGCAGAUCCACCAGGAGGGCUGCUGGAUUAGCAUCACCAGCCCUGGAAGGUGCGAAGGAAGAGAUUUCCUCAAGCCACAACAAAGAAGAUGGGGAAAACUGAGACCUAGAGAGGGGAAAUGACUUGCC